ensembl:snoRNA
AGUACCUAGUGUGUUUGUUUAAUUUGUAACAAAGCCCUUACGGACAGGUGCAGACAGUAAAUCCUCUUCUGCAAACCAGUACUCAUUGUUGAGUAUGAGAUUUUUGAUACAAGUAAGAAGAAAUAUA